AGGGAACCGGAGCUGGGAAGGUGCCGGGGGCGGGGCUCGCAGAGGAGGCGGGGGAUUGCGGGGGCGUGGCUGGAGGGGGCGUGGUCCGCGGGUGCUGCGCGGGAGUUGGGGAAGCGUCCUGCUGCACACAGGACCCAGUAAGCAGCCGGCGCUGAAGCUAGCGCCCGGGUCGGGACGUUCUUGUGGCAGAGUCGGUCUUGUUCUUGCGAUCCAGUCCUUUCUGGGACCUAGCACCGAGCGCUCUCCGUGCACCAGGCAGGACAGUGGGCAGCAGGGCUGACCCCGCAACUGUGUGAGUCCACCCUUGCACCGGUUCUGCCCUGGAACUGGACUUCGUCAGCAACAACACCCCAGACCUGAACCCUGGGUUCCUGUAUCCAACUGUCUGGCCACUUUUCUGCUGGGCUAUCUUUAGAGAGCUCAGGCUCUGGUAUCAUGUGUCCACUCCUGAUCUCCCCUCAAGCCUGCUACUCACUCCAGCCCCCACCACAGAGGACAGCACUCCAUCCUGCCUGCUAAGUUCACAUUCCAGUGCAAACUCCCUGAUGGGCCACCCAUAUGGAUAAGGCUGAAGUCAGAGCAUCCUUUUUGAGGCAGUCUGAGAAUCUAGACUCAGAUUUGCUUACUCGGUUCCCUGCUGUGGUGCAGCAUUGAUGCGUGGGGGCUUUCAGCAGACGUGAACUUGGGGAAAGCAGCAUGGGGUAGACCCUGUUCCAGGGAUUCAGGAAUGGACAGACUGGCUCCUGCCCUCAAACAGCUGACAUACUCUUGAGAGGAGCAGAUAAAAGCCGAGUAAAAACCAAACAAGCAGGAUGGACUGUGAGCAUCUCAUCAUCUGAGGAAGACCCUGGGUGGAGAUCACUGAAGGAUUUCUUCAAGAUAUAGUGGUCCCAGCGGUGUGCUGAUGGAUUCUGGGUGUGGAAUGACCCUUCAUGGAUGGUGUUUUACCUCGAUUCAAAACUUAAGCAGCUUAAAUGCUUAUGCUGAAGCUACUCGCCCAAAUUUAGAUAAAGUGUGAGAGUGGAGAAA